CCUGCAGAGGGAUUGGACAGACCUGGAGAGCUGUGUCUUCAGUGAGGUGGAUGCAGCAAAGAGUGGCCUCUACUGUGGACCAGCUAAGGCAGUCUCUGAGCAGCAGUCGGCUGUGAUUGGGCUCCUUCAUGAUUUUAACUCCUCCUCCGUCUUUGACCUCUGUGCCAUCCUUAAACCAGCUGAUCGUUAAUGAUUCCUGAGGAGCAAAGGGCAUCUUGAAAGCAGCGUUCUGCCCCACUCUAACAAUCACAGGUUUGGAGAACUUGUGAAGGUCGUCUGGGUCAAAUUCAGGUUGCUGACUCAGAGGGUUUGGAUAUCCCCAUGUCAUUCUUGGCAUAGACCCUGAACUUAUACUGCCUUCCUGGCAUGAUGUUGAUGGCAGUGAACUUGUUAUUGAAGAGGUGGUC